AACGAACGCUGGCGGCAUGCCUAACACAUGCAAGUCGAACGAGAACUUCGGGUCUAGUGGCGCACGGGUGCGUAACGCGUGGGAAACUGCCCUUAGGUUCGGAAUAACUCCCCGAAAGGGGUGCUAAUAACGGAUAAUGUCAUCGGACCAAAGAUUUAUCGCCUUUGGAUGGGCCCGCGUUGGAUUAGCUAGUUGGUAGGGUAAAAGCCUACCAAGGCGACGAUCCAUAGCUGGUCUGAGAGGAUGAUCAGCCACACUGGGACUGAGACACGGCCCAGACUCCUACGGGAGGCAGCAGUGGGGAAUAUUGGACAAUGGGCGAAAGCCUGAUCCAGCAAUGCCGCGUGAGUGAUGAAGGCCUUAGGGUUGUAAAGCUCUUUUACCCGGGAUGAUAAUGACAGUACCGGGAGAAUAAGCUCCGGCUAACUCCGUG
rnacentral:rRNA from 1 species